AUCAGUGGAUUACUCUGCCCAACGCACUCUACAACAACAAAGACCUUGAUUCCCAACUUGCCAAGCACGAUGGCAAGAAAUCAUUGGAGGGUAAUUAUUGACUUAUUCCAACUCAAGGUAGCUACACCAUGGACUUCAGCCUAACAUUAAACAUGGACAAAAGUGGAUUUCUGAAUUUGAUAGCGCAGCUCAGAGGUGCUUGGUUUGUGGUCGCCAUUCAGAGAAACACACUUUAUGACUCAGAAACCUGAGACAAUCAUCAUGACGAGAACCUGCUGCUUCUCAAAUGGGGCUCGACACAAAGGAUAUCAUCUGCAUUAAGAAGAUAACCUGCAAGACAGAUAGAGGAAGCACCAUGCAGAGGUGAAAUACCUUGAUCGACACUCAAAGCGAGAACUCAGCAACUACAGGACCAUAUCACUACCUGAACAUGUCAAUGUUCUGUAAAACUGCCAGUUUACUGCUGUAAUGAGGGAGUUGAACCACAAAAUAAAGGACUUUUCCUCUCGA